UCUGCUUAUUGGCCUUUUGGCUAAGAUCAAGUAAGUGUAGUAUCUGUUCUUAUCAUUUUAAUAUAUGAAAUAAAUUUUAAAAAAUCAUUCCUCAGGAGCAGAUUGGGGUUAUCCUAG
ensembl:snRNA U2 U2 spliceosomal RNA